CAGAUAGUAGUUUAAAAAACACUGGCAUUGGAAGCUAGAGAUCAAAUAAAUUUUGCUAUCUGAC
rnacentral:tRNA from 1 species